rnacentral:lncRNA from 1 species
CUGACAGUCAAGUCAGCUUGCCGCACAAACCCAUGUUCUGAUUGUCCCGUUGAGAAUGAGGCUCCCCGUCAGGCGGUGCGUCAGGAGAUGAGUUCAAGCUCCUGAUUUGGAAGCCAGGUCUCCCCUCUGUCUCAUCAGCGGGAAGUGUGGAAAGGAGGGGAGAGGGAGCUCUUCCCCUUUGUGUGAGGCAGCUGAUCUGGAAACCCCACGAAGGGCCCCCGGCCAGCACACCCUCUUCUCUUGUGUCAUCUGCAGGCUCUGUCCUUCCUCCACAAACGCCAGGACGGCGCCGGCUGCAGGGGCUGAGCCAUGUCCCUCCAUCCCACCGGCCUCCUGGGCCUCGUGCUCCUUCUGGGCCAACGAUCUGCGCACAGGAGGCUCCGGGCCUCCUCACAGGCCGACUUCUCCACCCUGAGUGCCCGCUUGCCCCCCAGCCCUCAGCUCGGCUAUCCGCACCCUGACCUCUGACGUCCCAGAGGCGGGCAGCCCUGCCUCCCGCCGGCCCCCCCGAUGCCCCAC